AUCCGGCUGACGAGUCACAAACAGGACGAAACGCGCGUCCUGGAU
rnacentral:hammerhead_ribozyme from 1 species